UACGGAGGGGACUAGCGUUGUUCGGAAUUACUGGGCGUAAAGGGCGCGUAGGCGGCCACCUAAGUCAGACGUGAAAUCCCUCGGCUCAACCGGGGAACUGCGUCUGAUACUGGGCGGCUUGAAUUCGGGAGAGGAAUGCGGAAUUCCAGGUGUAGCGGUGAAAUGCGUAGAUAUCUGGAGGAACACCGGUGGCGAAGGCGGCAUUCUGGACCGACAUUGACGCUGAGGCGCGAAAGCCAGGGGAGCAAACGGGG
rnacentral:rRNA from 1 species